UUGUUCAAAGAUGAAUCUAAGAAUAAAAUGUUUACCUGGCUUCGAGAAGAAGAUACAUAGUAUGGAACAUAUUAAAUACCCUCCACACUAUGGGCUGAUCUGGCUACAAAUCGCCCUGACUGAUUUGCAACUUACCCUUAAAUACUACCAGAACAAAAGGCCCAUAAACAUUUAUUCUCUGCCCCAAAACAGAUUAGAUCUGUGUAUGGGGGAUGAGAAACCUCAGUAGGAGCUGUUCUCGUGCUCCAAAUGGUCACACCUGUAGAGCAAUGUUUAUCAGAUUUUGAAGGGAGACCGCCCACAACAGAAGCACAGAUUUAACUUAAGUUUUCAAUAUUUCUCAUAAUACAAGUGACUACUGUGAAAUUGAGACCACACUGUAAAAAAAAAUCCGUAAAAAAUACAGUACAAUACCGUAAUAAUUUGAAGGAAUUUUCCGUAUUUGGUUUUUACAGGUGUUUUUCCGUAUUUUUUUUAAUUACGCUUUGCAUUGUGGGAACAAGAAGCUCAGUCGAUUAUCGGCGCGAAAACAGUGCUUGAGCAGACGCCAUUAUUCACAGAGAUAGUCUCGGUAAAAAUUUCAUUUUAAAGUCGGAUUUCGGGUUUGAGGAACCGUUUUUACACUUCCGUGGUAAAUUAUAUUUUGUUAAAUGUAACAAACUGUGACGUUAACUUAGUUGCUGUCUUCCUUAUUUGCCAAAUUAAUGUCGGAGCCGUCGCAUUUGACAUUUUCAGCACACCGUCACAUCUCACUCGACGUGGAGGUAAGUUACGUGUUACAGUGUGCUCACUUUCAGUUUUAUAAAUAAGUUUAUUAACUUUUAAUUGUUGUUGAUGCGGUGUAUUUGUUACUGCGCGUGCCGUAAAGCAUCCGGCAUGUUAACGUUACUGAGGUGAAGUUAAGCAGCUGUGAUAACGUUAAAUCUGAAGUGUCCUACAACUGUGUUUAGAGCGCUGUGUGCCUCCAACAGAAGCUGGCAGAGCAAUUGUCAAGAAAAGAAGAUACCAUUACGACUUUUUUUUAUUCUUUAAAAGAGAUUAUAUGACUAGGUGAAGAUCUGACAUCGCGGAAUUCUUCAAGGAUAACGCAACUUUUCUGCCAAACGAGGUCGUAAUUGCUGCUGUAUUGUGCAUCCCAAGUACCCCCUGCAUUCUUAUCAAGGGUUACUGGCCAACAUUAACACAAUAUACUAAACUGGCCCCUAUGACGCGCAGAAAGUGAGGGUAAAUGGCAUGGAAGUGGACUUUGAAGUCGACACAGGUUGUGAAGUGACAAUCAUCAGCAAAGAACAAUUUUCUAAGUUGUGGAAACAAACUGACAUGCCAGAAUGGAGACCCUGCAGUUUGAAAAAGGGAAGAAAUGGAAGUGCUGGGUCAAGCCACAGUGACAGUGGAAAUCCAAAAUGUAAGAAAAUAAAUUAUGAUGGUCUUGGAUGGAGAGGGACCUUACUUGUUGGGGCGAGGCGGGCUGAAAGACUUCGGGCUGUUGCCACAGCUGGUGAAUCAAGUGACAGCAGUGCCAACACAGAGGUUAGCAGAUGUGCUAGACAGACGCACAGAGGUGUUUAAAGAAGAGCUGGGGCAGCUCAAAGGCACCACAGCUAAAUUUCCUGUCAACCCUGAGGCCUAACCACGAUUCUUUAAGCCCAGAUGAAUUCUGUUUGCUGUCAAGGCCUUGGUGGAGGCUGAGCUCCAGAGACUGGAUGAGGUUCUGAGGAGAUUAAAAACAAGUGGAUUAAGACUGAAAGGGAGCAAAUGUGAGUUUCUGGGAGAGGAAGGGAUAUUCCUGGACCACCGAAUCAGUGCUGUAGGUGUGCAGCCAGUCACUGAAAAGGUCCAAAUGAUUCAACAAACCCCCACUCCACAAUUGGUGAGUGAACUGAAGACUUAUCUAGGCUUGCUGAACUAUUAUCAUAGGUUUCUGCCCAGUCUGUCCAUGGUGCUGGCGCCCUUGCACAGGUUGUUGAAGGAGACAAAGUGGACGUGCAGUCACCUGCUAUAUUAAUACACUAUGAUCCUACCAAACCUAUUAUCUUGGCUUGUGAUACUUCCCCAUAUGGGGUGGGGGCCGUGCUGUCCCACAGGAUGGAAGAUGAGACAGACAGACCGAUAGGAUUUGUAUCACGGACGUUAAAUGCAGCAGAGAAGAAUUACUCUCAAUUGGAUAAGGAGUGUCUGGCUGUCAUUUUCGGGGUAAAGAAAUUCCACACAUGUGUAUGGCAGACCAUUUACCAUUGUGACUGAUCGCAAGCCCCUGAUUGCACUGUUUAAUGAACUCGAGAACAGAUAGCUUAUCCACUUAUUCAAAGAUGGGUAGUAACUUUGGGGGGGUAUGAGUACACUAUUGUGUAUCGAGCAGGCCAUGAGCAUCAAAAUGGGUUGAGCUGGCUUCCACUGUCCGAAACAGGAGUAGAGACCCCAGCGGAAGAAGAGAGAGUGCUGCUGAUGGACAAAAAUGACGUGUCCCUGAUAAAAGCAGAGCAGGUGAAGAAAUGAACUGAUACAGAUCCUGUUUGGCACGAGUAAGAGAGUAUGUGCUUAGAGCAUUGGUCUCAAACUCAAUUCAUGGAGUGCCACAGCUCUGCACAGUUCUAAUGACUAGCAUUA